GAAAGAACGAAAUCAUGUUCAUCAAGACAUUUUCUAUGUUCGCACUGCUUUAUCUCACUAUAGUUGACUAUGGAAGGACAACGAGCCCAACGAUUUAUGACUCAGGUAAGCGCGAAAUCAGCUCUACAAAAAUUGUGGAUGGAACGGCAAAGGCACUUGAAGAGCCCUGUGCAUUGGUGUAUUGUGAAAAUGGCACUCCCAUACGGACCUUGAACUGCACCCCUCCUCCAUCCAUGGACGACGACCCACAUUGCUUUUUAAUGAGCUUCAGUGGAACCUUCCCAAAUUGCUGCCCCGGAUAUGCGUGCUACUAGGACCUCUCGCGACAGAAGAUGCAAUGUGCCGUAUAUCACAGAAGACCUGCUUAGACAAAGGUCCUUUCUUUACAAAAAAAAGAAGCAAUAAAGAUCUGUCUUCAUUUGAAACAAAAA